UACGAAGGGGGCUAGCGUUGCUCGGAAUCACUGGGCGUAAAGCGCACGUAGGCGGACUCUUAAGUCGGUGGUGAAAUCCUGGAGCUCAACUCCAGAACUGCCUUCGAUACUGAGAGUCUCGAGUCCGGGAGAGGUGAGUGGAACUGCGAGUGUAGAGGUGAAAUUCGUAGAUAUUCGGAAGAACACCAGUGGCGAAGGCGGCUCACUGGACGACUGUUGACGCUGAGGUGCGAAAGCGUGGGGAGCAAACAGG
rnacentral:rRNA from 1 species